rnacentral:rRNA from 1 species
GCAUAAUCACUUGCCUCUUAAUUAGAGGCUAGAAUGAAUGGAAAAACGUAUAUCUGCCUAUAUAAAAUUAUAUACGUAAAAUUUAUAUUUCAGGUGAAGAUACCUGAGUAUAUUUGAAAGACAAGAAGACCCUGUAGAGUUUUAGUGGUAGUAUUUAUACCAUAAUUAUAUUUCACUUUAGUUGGGGCGACUAAGGAUAUUUUCACUCAUCCUAAUAUAUAAAAGGUAUAUCCCUAAUAAAUAAUCCUUUUUAAAGACCUUGAACUAAACUACCUCAGGGAUAACAGGCUUAUCUUCCUAGCAAGAUCAAAUUAACAGGAAGGUUUGGCACCUCGAUGUUGGCUUAGAGUAACUAAAUAAAGCAAAAAUUAUUUAAAGUUAGUUUGUUCAACUAUUAAAUCUCU